AACAAACUUUUUUUUGUAAUUUAAUUCUUUUUUUCUUUUUUCUUUUUUUUUUUUUUCACUAGCCUCGGCUUUCUCUCUGCUUCUCCCACUCGGGCGUACUGACGACUGGACCGGGCCGGCGCCCGCUACAGCCAGGUGUAUGCCCCGCGGGUGUUGAAACCAAGUGGAAGAAGAAGAAAAAGAAGAGGAACGGUGCGAAAGAGAACACGGAGGAGAAGAAGAAGAAAAAGUUCGGCCAGCGAAAAGCCGAAAGCUCGACGCGCAAAGGGAGUGAGGAAAGCUUGGUUGCGAGGCAGGUAGGUGGAGUGAAGGUGUAUACACGUACCUGCUAAUCCAAAAGCACCGCCCACUUCUUCCGGCCGCAGCGCGCGGGUGGUCGCGGAUUCAAAACCGGCCCGACACGCUUCUCGAUUCUCCCGGCUUAUUCUCUCACAGUCCCAUGAACUGCCUCGCUAUCCUAUGUGAGUAUUAUUUCAAAAGAAAAAAGAGAAAAAUGAUUCACUACCGCACCAUCUAGCGAGCCGUCGAUUCAACUUUGUCGGGAAAGACAUAAUGGAAGAAGUUGUCGCUCAAGUGUUUCCCUUACGUACGUCUGCAAUUCCAGAGGGAAAUGCUGGUUAAUUUCAUUUGUUUCAUGAUGAAAAACUUUCAUCAAAUUAGAUAUUGCUCAUUUCGUCCCAAUUUGUUCUACUUCCGGAUGGUUGCCUAGCGCUGGAUGGUACAAUCUCUUGGGGUGUCCAGCGACUAUUUGUAGUGUAGAAACUAAUCGCAUGUCGCGUUCACUUGUUUUUUCUUUUCUUUUUCGCUUUCCCAUUGGUUUUUCUAAUGCUUCCUUCCUUCAUCCGCCCAUUCUUCCGGUUGCACUCAACAAAAGCGACGUCAAGCUCUACCGCGAAGACUUAUUAUGUUCUUCACCUUUAUAUAAAAGAAAGGAUUUAUUCUUUCGCCUUGCAGACGAAUCAUCAUCCAGCAUUAAAGAAAACCGCGAGCUAAAUCUUUUUGCAUGGCUGGUGAGUUGUUACGCAGAGCUAUUAAGGUGAACAUGGUUGCCAUGUACAAAGAGACAGACGUAAUGCAAGAAGAACUGAAUACUCAGACAGCAUAAUGAGAGGACACACAGUCGAAGAUAUCGGAUAACUGGACUUCGCUGCUUAAUGGCUGUUUAAUUUUAUGCGCUUGGUUGGUUGUUUUAUGUACUCGUUCAGCCAAUCUUGGGGAAUUUUGCAUUUUCGAAAUGUUUUGCUUGCUUCAUAUAAAACGUUCGAAUUUCUAUUUUCCUUGUGGUUGGCGAGCGCAAUAUUAAAUGGUUGCUAAGAUGUUUGAGCAUGCUCUGACGUGGCAUCUUUGAUCAACACACAUGUCUCAAGUUCUUGCAGAUCUGGCUGUUGCCGGAGUAACGAAAGUAAAUGUCACCAAUCCCGCAGAGAUGUGAAACAAAUUGAAAAAGCAGUCGAGCGAAACAAAAAGAUCAAUGUCUCCUUGAAAGAUUAUUCACACUGAAGCAUAAGUUGCCUUUCUUUUUAUUUCUUUUUA